AGUGAACGCUGGCGGUAGGCCUAACACAUGCAAGUCGAACGGCAGCACAGUAAGAGCUUGCUCUUACGGGUGGCGAGUGGCGGACGGGUGAGGAAUACAUCGGAAUCUACUUUUUCGUGGGGGAUAACGUAGGGAAACUUACGCUAAUACCGCAUACGACCUACGGGUGAAAGCAGGGGAUCUUCGGACCUUGCGCGAUUGAAUGAGCGGAUGUCGGAUUAGCUAGUUGGCGGGGUAAAGGCCCACCAAGGCGACGAUCCGUAGCUGGUCUGAGAGGACGACCAGCCACACUGGAACUGAGACACGGCCCAGACUCCUACGGGAGGCAGCAGUGGGGAAUUUUGGACAAUGGGCGCAAGCCUGAUCCAGCCAUGCCGCGUGCGUGAAGAAGGCCUUCGGGUUGUAAAGCGCUUUUGUUGGGGAAGAAAUGCAGUAGGUUAAUACCCCGCUGUUCUGACGGUACCCGAAGAAUAAGCACCGGCUAACUUCGUG
rnacentral:rRNA from 1 species